rnacentral:rRNA from 1 species
AGUGAACGCUGGCGGCAGGCCUAACACAUGCAAGUCGAGCGGCAGCACAGCAGUAGCAAUACUGUGGGUGGCGAGUGGCGGACGGGUGAGGAAUACAUGGGAAUCUGCCCUGUCGUGGGGGAUAACGUAGGGAAACUUACGCUAAUACCGCAUACGACCGAGAGGUGAAAGCGGCGGACCGCAAGGCGUCGCGCGAUUGGAUGAGCCCAUGUCGGAUUAGCUAGUUGGCGGGGUAAAGGCCCACCAAGGCGACGAUCCGUAGCUGGUCUGAGAGGAUGAUCAGCCAAACUGGAACUGAGACACGGUCCAGACUCCUACGGGAGGCAGCAGUGGGGAAUAUUGGACAAUGGGCGCAAGCCUGAUCCAGCCAUGCCGCGUGAGUGAAGAAGGCCUUCGGGUUGUAAAGCUCUUUUGUCCGGAAAGAAAAGCCUUCGGUUAAUACCCGGGGGUGAUGACGGUACCGGAAGAAUAAGCACCGGCUAACUUCGUGCCAGCCGCCGCGGUAACAC